rnacentral:rRNA from 1 species
GUAACAUGGAUUGCUUGCAAUCUGAUGACGAGUGGCGCACGGGUGCGUAACGCGUAUGCAAUCUACCUUUUACAGGAGAAUAGCCCAGAGAAAUUUGGAAUAAUGCUCCAUAAUAUCAUUUAUCAGCAUUGGUUUAUGAUUAAAGCUCCGGCGGUAAAAGAUGAGCAUGCGUUCUAUUAGCUAGUAGGUGAGGUAACGGCUCACCUAGGCUACGAUAGAUAGGGGCCCUGAGAGGGGGAUCCCCCACACUGGUACUGAGACACGGACCAGACUCCUACGGGAGGCAGCAGUGAGGAAUAUUGGACAAUGGAGGAAACUCUGAUCCAGCCAUGCCGCGUGCAGGAUGACUGCCCUAUGGGUUGUAAACUGCUUUUAUAUAGGAAGAAACACUCCCACGUGUGGGGGCUUGACGGUACUAUAUGAAUAAGGAUCGGCUAACUCCGUGCCAGCAGCCGCGGUAAUACGGAGGAUCCAAGCGUUAUCCGGAAUCAUUGGGUUUAAAGGGUCCGCAGGCGGCCUGUUAAGUCAGAGGUGAAAUCCUACAGCUCAACUGUAGAACUGCCUUUGAUACUGAUAGGCUUGAGUUAUUGUGAAGUGGUUAGAAUGUGUGGUGUAGCGGUGAAAUGCUUAGAUAUCACACAGAAUACCCAUUGCGAAGGCAGAUCACUAACAAUAUACUGACGCUCAUGGACGAAAGCGUGGGGAGCGAACGGGAUUAGAUACCCCGGUAGUCCACGCCGUAAACGAUGGAUACUAACUGUUCGACCUUCGGGUUGAGUGGUCAAGCGAAAGUGAUAAGUAUCCCACCU